UGCUAAGAAGACAUGCUGCUGUCCUGUAAGGGGUGGGGCGGGGAAGGCAACACCCUUUCCUGGGCAUCUCCAAUAUGCCAGGCGUUGUGCUCCUUCUUGUCUUAUAGACCAUGUCCUUCAAUUUAAUCCAAAUCCCACAGCCUUGGAGGAAGGACAUGCUCUCUCCGUACAGGAGAUGGAACAAAGCUUGGGGAAUUCAAGUGGUUUAUCUAAGAUCACAGAACUUGUAGGUGGUGGAACCAGGAUUGAACUCUGUUCUAUCUAACAUCCAAGUUGUUGCUCUCUCCACUAUGCCAGGCCCCUUUGAAAUCUCAGCGGCCAAGACCGUUUCCCCUGUGUCCCUUCAUGCCCCACGGGGUGGACUCAGAGGGACAUUUCAGAUGUUAUUUCCAACUCUCUUCCCCCACCCCCUUCCCCUUGGUGAACUGCUAAGACUCUGUGGUCUCUGAGGGGCCAAGGUAGGACUUGACAGGUGGUGAGUCCUGUGGUGCUGGCCAUCAUGCUCAUUUCAAGCCGAAAGAAAAAAGAAACCCCCCUCCCCCAAACUGUCUCUUCCUGGUCUCUUUAUGCAUCUCACCCAUUACAACUGCUCUGAAUCAUCAUACACGUGCUGAUCCUCAUUUGCAUUCAACAUCUCCGCUGGAGCUCCAGGGCAGGGCCCAAUUGAGUAGUUCGACUUCUGAGUUUGCACUGAGGAAGCUCUGCUCCUCCUGACCCUCCUAGCGCAAGGGUCCCCCCUGCAGGGGCCCAGAUGAAGGCCAGGAGGGGACAGCCUGCAUCUGCCCAGGGACCCUGCGGCCCCAGACAUGCUGCUGUAGCUCUGUUGCUGCCCUGGGCGCUCAGGGCGUGAGUGAUAUGUUUCCUAAUCCCCAAAUCCUCCGUCUUAUUUUCCUGGGAAAUUUGGAUUUUCUCUGUGGCUUCAGUGAGGAGCUAUUUCUAGAGAGGAAUCAGAAUCACUGGGGUGAAAUCAUCACUAGACUGUGUCAACAGGGGACUGCUUGCCAGUCAUCCUGAGGCAGGAGACAGAUGGGCCCCCGGAGCAAACAGUUGGCACUGGUUCUCUGCGGACCGAUACUCUGAGACUAAAAUAGCAGGACAAUUGAGGGAGGAGGUGGGGCCCUGCCCAGACAGACGGUAAGAGACCACGUGUGCCUCUUUCUCAAAGUCAGGAGACCUUCUCGACUACACAUGCGCAGACAGGCUCCUCAGAGGUCAAAAAAGGAGGGGGCGCCACCCCAUAGUAAGUGAUGCUAACUACUCACAGGCCUCUUGAGUGGAAUCCGUCUUGGUAAGAAAUGCGUGUGCACACAUGGGAGGGUCCUGAGAUAAACCAAAUAGGGACUCUGAACCAGGCAAAGCAAAAUGAUUGGCCAAAGGAAAUCUCGGAGAAACACGUCCACCACGAGUCUGGCUGAGUUCUCGGAGCUGAGGACCACAUGAUAAACAAGCAAGUUCCCUGUCCAGCUGGAGAGACACUCAGGUUGAACUCUCCCGGAGCAGGUGUCUUAGUUUCUGUGGGCAUACAGUUCACCUGGGCAUCUUGUUAAAAUCCAGCAGCGAAGCUUCAAAGUUUCAGAAAAGAAGGGAUGUGGUUAGUGGGAGCUGAUGAUUUUUUAAUCUUAGCAAGCUCUGGAAAGCCUGGCUCUGCAAUCGCAUUGACCUUGAGAUGAUUUCCCGCGGCCAGAAAGAAGCCCAUCAUUUAUUUAUUAACCCUCCAGAAGGUCUGCACACAAUCCCCUGUGGCCAGGCAGAAAGAAUAUUAUGGGUCAAAUGCCAUUACAGAAAGCCCCAGAGAGAAAAGACCAAACUAUUUGGCCAUGUGGGCAUUUGGGCUGGAGAGCAGCAGUUUGUACACGGCCGUGCUGCGACAUGUUACUCCGCACACAGUGCCACAUGGCCACUCAACGGCCUUCCAAAAUCAGCAGCAGAA